GAUGAAGAACGUAGCGAAAUGCGAUAAGUAAUGUGAAUUGCAGAAUUCAGUGAAUCAUCGAAUCUUUGAACGCACAUUGCGCCCGCCAGUAUUCUGGCGGGCAUGCCUGUCCGAGCGUCAUUUCAACCCUCGGGCCCCCCUCUGCGGGCGGCCCGGCGUUGGGGCUCAGGCGCCGUCUCUGCUCGGCGCCUGUCCCCUAAAUGCAGUGGCGGCCUCGCCGCUGCCUCCUCCGCGUAGUAGCACAAACCUCGCGGCUGGAAGGCGGCGCGGCCACGCCGUAAAACCCCCCAACUUUACCAAGGUUGACCUCGGAUCAGGUAGGGAUACCCGCUGAACUUAAGCAUAUCAAUAAGCGGAGGA
rnacentral:misc_RNA from 1 species